rnacentral:rRNA from 1 species
GUCUGCUUCCUACUGCUCUGGGUGUGCCUGUUUGUUCCUGUCCUUAGUAGCUAAGCAGACUGGGGCCGGGCCAGUACCUUGACAGGAGACCGUUUGGGAACUUCUGGGGGAGACC